CACAGCGUACUUCUAGCAUCGCUCUGUGGCGUCCACAACACUGAACGUAGCGAAGUCCCAAAUGCUACAGAAAAUGGCCUUUGAUAGUUGAAGGCCGUGUUUUGAGUUGUUUAUUAAAGCUUUGAAUAUGGAGAACACUGUACGAACAGCUCCAUGCCAUACGUCCUUCUCGUGACGCAGAAUGUAUGGGUUCGCUGGGUCGCGAGGAAGAAAGAGAAUCUUGAGGACUCCCGCUGGAUAAUCAAAUAGCUCCUCGCUAACCGCACAGAACUGGAGGAUGGCUGGAAUUAUUGGGAACAGUUCAACAUCUGGAAUGGGUGACAUCAUCCAGCUGAAUGUCGGAGGGACGAGAUUUAGCACGUCAAGGCAGACUCUGACAUGGAUUCCUGACUCUUUCUUCUCAAGUUUACUUAGUGGAAGGAUAUCAACACUACGGGAUGAAACUGGAGCCAUAUUCAUUGACAGAGACCCAACAGCAUUUGCACCCAUUUUAAACUUUCUUCGAACUAAAGAAUUAGACUUGAGGGGGGUUAACAUUAGUAUCCUGCGACAUGAGGCAGAGUUCUAUGGUAUUAGACCCUUAGUCCGACGCUUACUGCUUUGUGAAGAACGGGAGCGAUCAUCAUGUGGAAGUGUGUUGUUUCAUGGCUACCUCCCUCCACCAGCUCUCCCAGUGCGGAGCAGUGUAGGUGGGAAGGCUGCAGCUGUUGCAGCUCCAGAGGAGUGCUCAGGCCCCACUGGCGCGGAGGGGGGUUACCCACGUUCCUGCCCUCAGUCUUCUCUCCCUGGACCCUCUGGGGUAGAUGGACCUCAAAGACUAGGAUCACCAGUGGACCCUAGGAAGGUGCUGAUUGUCGCUGGCCAUCAUAACUGGAUUGUAGCUGCUUAUGCACAUUUUGUCAUUUGCUACAGGAUAAAGGAAUCAUCAGGCUGGCAGCAGGUGUUUUCCAGCCCUUACCUGGACUGGGCCAUAGAGCGGGUGGCCCUCAAUGCAAAAGUCAUGGGCGGCCCACAUGGAGAUAAAGACAAGAUGGUGGCAGCGUCAUCAGAGAGCAGCAUUAUGUUGUGGAGUAUCCAGGAUGGAGGGAGUGGAAGUGAAAUAGGUGUGUUCAGUCUUGGAGUACCUGUUGACUCUCUGUUCUUCAUUGGGAGUCAGCUGGUCGCCACCAGUCACACGGGGAAGGUGGGAGUGUGGAAUGCCGUCACCCAGCACUGGCAGGUGCAGGAUGUGGUGCCCAUCACAAGCUGCGACACUGCUGGCUCCUUCCUCUUGCUGGGCUGUAACAACGGCUCAAUUUACUAUAUUGACAUGCAGAAGUUUCCGCUGAGAAUGAAGGACAAUGACUUGUUGGUGACGGAGCUGUACCACGACCCAUCGAAUGAUGCCAUCACGGCCCUCAGUGUCUACCUGACUCCUAAAACCAGUGUGAGUGGGAACUGGAUUGAGAUCGCAUAUGGAACCAGCUCAGGGGCCGUGCGUGUCAUCGUGCAGCAUCCAGAGACUGUUGGAUCUGGUCCACAGCUCUUCCAGACCUUCACUGUCCACCGCAGCCCUGUCACUAAGAUUAUGCUCUCUGAAAAGCACUUAGUUUCAGUGUGUGCUGACAAUAACCAUGUACGCACAUGGACGGUGACGCGCUUCAGAGGCAUGAUCUCCACUCAGCCAGGAUCUACUCCGCUGGCCUCCUUUAAGAUCAUCUCACUGGAGGAGACAGAGAGCCAUAGUAGCUAUUCCUCCGGCAAUGACAUAGGCCCAUUUGGAGAGAGAGACGACCAACAGGUGUUCAUUCAGAAAGUCAUUCCUAUAACCAACAAACUUUUUGUUCGCCUCUCCUCUACGGGAAAAAGGAUCUGUGAGGUGCAGGCUGUAGGUGGCACCACCAUCACGUGUUUUACAGUGCGAGAGUGUGAGGGCUCGAGCCGCAUGGGCUCCAGACCCCGCCGUUACCUCUUCACUGGCCACGCAAACGGGAGCAUUCAGAUGUGGGACCUCACCACCGCCAUGGACACGGUCAACAAGAGUGACGACAAGGCCAAGCGGGAACCAGAGGUGGGAGGUCCAACUGAGGAGGAGCUGCUGAAGCUGCUUGACCAAUGUGAUUUGAGCACAUCUCGCUGUGCCACACCCAACAUCAGCCCCGCCCCCUCUGUGCUGCAGCACAGCCGGCUGCGAGAGUCCUGCUCCAGUCAUUUUUACAGUCUCCAGCUGCAGGCUCAGGAGCCCAUCCCUGAGACGGCCACUUAUGGAGCCUUGCGGCCGUACCGAGAAAGCCCCUUGCUGGCCCGUGCUCGACACACCGAGAGCUUCCACAGCUACAGAGACUUCCACUGCUUAAACCUGACCAAGGCCCUGCUGGAGAACCACAGACAGUGCGGAUCCAUGGAGGAUGAGAUACACCAUUCAGUGGGAGAGAACAACGCUGAGGACACCGACAAAAGGAACUCUACCAUGGAUCUUUGGGGGUCCAGAUCAUCUGAAACCCAGUCUUCAGCUGCACGCAAACCCCCAAACAGCCCAGGAGACCAGCAGCGAAGGGCCCAUUUGAUGGAGGAAGUGGCUGCAGACCCUAGACCAGAUGGGGGCAGGAGGAGAGGGGCAUUUGAAGCAAAUUUUCUAAGCAGGAAAAAGGCCCCCCCAGUUCCACAACUGAGCCCCCCACCGGCAGGAACUGAUGGAGGGAGCAGCGACUCGUCCAGCACUGCCUCACCCUCGCCAACUAGUGUCCACAUCCCCACGCCAUCGCAAGGCUCCUGACGCUGCAUGUGAGUGAUGGUUCACACAGAUUUGUCCUAUGCAGAGGUCGUACCAAAUACAAUAAUCAAUGACAGGGAAAAGAAAGUAGUUGAAUGGAUGACUUCAAAAGUGAAGCGUUUCAGAAUGUAGAUGCGAAGGUUUGGCAGGAUGCAAGCUGGCAGCUAAAAAAAGAAACCUCACUCACUGUGGACAGAUUUAAAGGGAAAAUACACAGCAUAAAUAUGUCAGUUUCACAUGUCUGUUAACCGGUUGAAAGAAGUUAUUAAGCUUUUGUCAGACUUUAAUAUGAGCUUAAAUAUGAGAUACAUUUACUUUUCAUUCCUUUGAGAAAAUUAACAAAGAGUGACUAGAUUAAUUAUUCAGCCAGUUAGACUUUAGCUUUGUACACCUGUGCCUUUACUAAACAUUUUUAUUGUUUUUGUCCAUUAAAGGGAUAGUCCACCCUAAAAUGAAAACGUGAAGAAAAUUUGAAUGAAGAAUUUACUCACCCUCAUGUCAUUUAAAACCCACAGGACUUUCUUUUGUGGAUCAGCAAAGGAAAAGUUUAACAGAAUGUUUUGCUGCUCUCUUCUAUACAAUGAAGGUGGAUUUAUAUUCAGAGUAAUAGAAUUAAAUGUGUUACUAUUGAUAAUCUUUUCUUGAUAAUCCUUCUCGACAUUUGCUUUCACUGUAUAGUAAAUAUCAGUUUGACUACUUUCGUGUUUCAUGAAAGAAAAAAAAAAUCAUACAGGGGUUGAAAGACUUUUCAGAUUUUGAGUGGAUUAUUGAUUAAAUGGUUUGCUUUUCUCUUGUAAAUGAAGUUGCUUUUUUAAAAAGUAGAUUAGCAUGCUGAUGCUACUGGCCACUAACAGUACCUCCAAAACACUGUGAUGCACUUUAUUGUCUGUACUUACAUUGAAUGGACUGAACAGAUGAGCUUUAAUGAUCAGGUUUGACUCGUGAAGGCAGCAGGAAUCAGCAGCCUUUGACAGAAUCUCUUUCUUUCUUCAUUAAUCCUUUCAGACGGGUUGCGCUCUCUGAACUUUCAGCAUGCAUCCGCAGGGGAUUUUUACUUGCUCUAUCCAUUUUGGGGAUUUAUUCAGUGCCUUUUGCUAAUUUGGAUAGAUACUGCUGUGAGAAAUCAAAACUGAUUUAGCUUUUUUUUCUGUCUUUCUGAUGUGAGGGUUUGUUGGAUUAUCACAUUAUGCAACUGAUUUAAGUGAAGCGGAUUCAGUUACACUCACAGAAUAAGACACUUACCAAGAUGAGAAAAAGAAAAGAAGGUAUAUUUUACAGUUGCCAGAUUUAAAGGUAAUAAUAUACAAUUAAAAAUUGAUUUUUUUAUUAAUGGAUUAGCUCUGUAUUUAAAAUGCUACAAUACAAACUUCUGUCUAAAUUAAUCAACAUGUGAAUAAUGUCAUCAUAACGUGAAAUGUUAUCAUUUGCAUUUUCACUUCUGUUAAGAAUAUACUGUCAAGAAUUAUUUACAGUGGACCCGAAGCUAAUUUUGCAUUCAACUGAUGAGCAUGGUCACUUUCUUUCCAGCCAUUCCACUUAGUGUACAGGUUAUAUCCUGCCAGAGAAAAUGUACAGUAUAUAGUGAUUAUUAUUUUAAUGGUAACUAAAUGGAAUCCUUUAACAAAGUACUUUAUAUAAAGGAAAUGAGAUCGUAUUAAUGCUAUGCAAUCAGUGUUAGUGCUGACAGUAGGCUACAUAGCCUGAAACUAAAUCAUGAAUAACAGAAAUGAAUAGCAGAAAGUUAUUUGGACUACAGCAUGAAGCUAGAAAAAUAAAUUCAAAUAAAUAAAAUAAUAUAAAUAAUUACCCCUUGGAAGAUCUGCAUGUUUCAUUUCUCAAAAUGAUGUUGCAUAUGCUUCCAAUUGACUUUUUAAAAUGUCCUUUGUUGCUAAGACUGGUUUGCUCCUAGGUGUAGUGAUCUUGGUAUCAAAAUGGUAUCAAGAUAUGCAUAUUAAUUAAUUAAAUGCAUAUUACUUAAUCAGCUACUUGUGUAAUUUAUUUGCUCUCUGAGAUGUUUCAGUGUUGGGGAAUAUUUAAUUGACAAGAGUAUGAUUCUUUAUGCUUGCUUUCAGAAAUACAGUCACAAGCUGAUUUGUGUUUUCAGUCUGGUUACUGUAUGAUUUCAUCUCCAGACAAGAGAUCUUAUCAUUUCAAUAUGCAGAAUAGUUAUGUUUUAUCAAACAAGACUGGCUUACCUGCUGCACAGAUCAUGACAUGGCUACAAGAAGAAAGUUUACGUUACUUGAAAUAUGGAGAGAAAAAAAAAUAGAAUAUGGUACAUACAGCACAGAUCGGUACUCAGCUUCUGUACAUUUCCAGUGGCACAAUAAAGUAGCCAAACAGAGC